rnacentral:rRNA from 1 species
UACGUAGGGGGCAAGCGUUGUCCGGAAUUAUUGGGCGUAAAGAGCUCGUAGGCGGUCUGUUGCGUCGGCUGUGAAAACCCGGGGCUCAACCCCGGGCCUGCAGCCGAUACGGGCAGACUAGAGUUCGGCAGGGGAGACUGGAAUUCCUGGUGUAGCGGUGAAAUGCGCAGAUAUCAGGAGGAACACCGGUGGCGAAGGCGGGUCUCUGGGCCGAUACUGACGCUGAGGAGCGAAAGCCAGGGGAGCAAACGGG